rfam:Camelus ferus unplaced genomic scaffold scaffold688, whole genome shotgun sequence.
GAGGGUAUAGCUCAGUGGCAGAGCGCAUGCUUAGCAUGCAUGAGGUCCUGGGUUCAAGCUGCAGUACCUCCA